UGGGGGAUAUUGCACAAUGGGCGAAAGCCUGAUGCAGCGACGCCGCGUGGGGGAUGAAGGCUUUCGGGUUGUAAACCUCUUUCGCUAUCGAACAAGGCCCGCUUAGGGUGGGUUGAGGGUAGGUGGAGAAGAAGCGCCGGCUCACUACGUGCCAGCAGCCGCGGUAAUACGUAGGGCGCGAGCGUUGUCCGGAAUUAUUGGGCGUAACGGGCUUGUAGGCGGCUUGUUGCUCCUGCGGUGAAAAGGCGGGGCUUAACUUCGCGCGUGCAGUGGGUAAGGGCAGGCUUGGGUGUGGUAGGGGUGACUGGAAUUCCGGGUGUAGCGGUGGAAAGCGGAGAUAUCUGGAGGAACACCGAUGGCGGAGGCAGGUCACUGGGCCAUUACUGACGCUGAGGAGCGAAAGCAUGGGUAGCGAACAGG
rnacentral:rRNA from 1 species